ensembl:processed_transcript A730017L22Rik RIKEN cDNA A730017L22 gene
CGUGGUCUUCCGGCGUGCCCAGCAUGUAGACCUGCUCAAUGCCAGGGUCUUAGCGCGGAUGAACAUCGCCUAGUCUACGGAGGCUCUUUGCUUUCCGCACCGCGCUACGACGAGUUAGCCAGUACCUCCUUACAGUGGCUGCCUGGCUCUGCUAGACAAGCUGACUGUGAAUUAGGGAAGGCUGAAAGAAGCUGAGGAGAAGGGCAAUCUUGUAGGAGGACCAGCAGUCUCAAUUAAUAUGGACUACCGAGAUCUCUCAAACACCGAACAGGCAGCAUACACAAGCUGAUAUGAGGCCUCCAACACACAUACAGUGGAGGACUGCCAGGUCUGUGUUCAUUCAGAGAUGAUACACCUAAUCCUCAAGAGACUGGAGGCCCCAGGGAGUUUAGAGGUCAGUUGGGGUGGGGGAAGGGGACAUCCACGUGGAGACAGGAGAGUGGGGAAAAGGAAUGGGAUGUGGAACAGUCGGAGGGUGGAUGGUGGGUGGGAAUAAAAUAUGGAGUGUAAAAAAAAUUAAUUAAUUCAAAUAAAAAAUAAUAAUAUG